AGCCACUGAGGCUGCGUAAUGGCUGGUGCACUGGAAAUGUACCAAGCAAUGCUAUCGCAGCCAUCGCCAGCUCAAGCGGAUAUUUACAAGCGGAAUCAACCUUACAUUGCGCCGGGCGCGGGGAAUUUCAAUACUAGGCUGGACCCGCUACAGGAGAUGAUGUUUCGAAAAUGGGUCGGACAGAACAAUGUUCCGUUCAAUCCAGAUUCAGGAGUGCAGGAUUACGACAUGCGCGGCUUUUACAGCGCACUCCAAAGUGGAAAUCCAAAAGCAGUCUCUGCCAUCAAUCCGAACGACGAUCAGAUGCACUACCCGGAUUACUGGAAAACGCCGUACCACGAGUCAUUCUCAGGCGAGAGCCAGUGGGCGGGACCA
rnacentral:misc_RNA from 1 species